rfam:Maribacter sp. HTCC2170, complete genome.
UAUCUUUGCGCCCUGAUUGAAAAUCAAUCAAGUACAUAAAAAUCAUUUAAAACAAUAUUGGAAUG